rnacentral:rRNA from 1 species
CCUACGGGCGGCAGCAGUGGGGAAUAUUGGACAAUGGGGGCAACCCUGAUCCAGCCAUGCCGCGUGUGUGAAGAAGGCCCUCGGGUUGUAAAGCACUUUCAGUGAGGAAGAACGCCUGGUGGUUAAUACCCAUCAGGAAAGACAUCACUCACAGAAGAAGCACCGGCUAACUCCGUGCCAGCAGCCGCGGUAAUACGGAGGGGGCGAGCGUUAAUCGGAAUUACUGGGCGUAAAGCGCGCGUAGGUGGCUUGAUAAGCCGGUUGUGAAAGCCCCGGGCUCAACCUGGGAACGGCAUCCGGAACUGUCAAGCUAGAGUGCAGGAGAGGAAGGUAGAAUUCCCGGUGUAGCGGUGAAAUGCGUAGAGAUCGGGAGGAAUACCAGUGGCGAAGGCGGCCUUCUGGACUGACACUGACACUGAGGUGCGAAAGCGUGGGUAGCAAACAGGAUUAGAUACCCUGGUAGUC